CAGUCGCCGCGGGAAUACGAAGGGUGCAAGCGUUACUCGGAAUUACUGGGCGUAGAGCGUGCGUAGGUGGUGGUUUAAGUCCGUUGUGAAAGCCCUGGGCUCAACCUGGGAAUUGCAGUGGAUACUGGGUCACUAGAGUGUGGUAGAGGAUAGUGGAAUUUCCGGUAUAGCAGUGAAAUGCGUAGAGAUCGGAAGGAAUACCGGUGGCGAAGGCGGCCCCCUGGACAAAGACUGACGCUCAGGUGCGAAAGCGUGGGGAGCAAACAGGAUUAGAUACCCCUGUAGUCCCUGUCUCUUAUAC
rnacentral:rRNA from 1 species